rnacentral:snRNA from 1 species
GUGCUCACUUUGGCAGCACAUACAUUCACAGUGGAACAAUACAGAGGAGAUUAGCAUGGCCCCUGAGCAAGGAUGACACGGAAGUCCGUGAAGUGUUCCAUAUUUAA